rnacentral:rRNA from 1 species
AACGAACGCUGGCGGCAGGCCUAACACAUGCAAGUCGAGCGAGUACUUCGGUCUUAGCGGCGGAUUGGUGAGUAACCCGUUGGAACGUGCCCUUUGCUUUGGAUUAGCCCUGGGAAUCUGGUCGUAAUACCGGAUCAGCUCUCUCGUGGAAAGAUUUAUCGGCGAAGGAUCGGCCGGCGUUGUAUCAGUUGGUUGUUGGGGUAAUGGCCUACCAAGCCGACGAUACAUAGCUGGGUAGAGAGGAAGCUCACCCACACUGGGACUGAGACACGGCCCAGAAUCCUACGGGAGGGAGGAGAGGGGAAUCUUAGAAAGUGGGGGAAACGAUGAAGGAGCCAUGCCGGGUGAGCGAUGAAGGCCGUAAGGAUGUAAAGCUAUUUCAGCUGGGAAGGUAAUGACGGUACCAGCAGAAGAAGCCCCGGCUAACUCCGUG